CUUUAAGACCUAUGGUUUCUAUGGCAGCCGCCAGUUAUGUCCGGAAGAGACACUGCCAUCAUUAUCCAAUGGUGCAGCGUCAAGAAAGUUGAAAAAAAAUAACAGAAAUCCAUGAUGGAGACGUCUUCUCGUGAUCAAGCUGGUGGAGGGCUGUGGAACUGUCCUAGAAGGACCCAGUGCAGCAAGGAGAUUCAGGACAUACUGAAAUUAAUGAUGCAAGAGUCGAGACUCACCAACUUCCAGCAAAGACAGCUCAAUGACAAACUUAAGAGGAUCAGCUUUGCCAUUGACCUGCAACCCCACAUCAUCGGCUCCUCCCUCCCUCACUGCCCAAACCCAGAGUCUUAAAAAAUAGCACAAACCGCCCUCCAGCCAAGCCCCUGGGGCGCACCGCUGACAAUUGUAGUUCUGGGGACAACUACACCAGAGAUCGGUUCCGCCCCAGUGCCACACAUAUGUGUUCCGCUUCAGCUCUACUACAUUUCAACUAUCCGAGAUGCUUGGAAUUCUAAAGAUCGAGGCCCUGUUCUCCUGAUAUCAGAACUAGUUCACUGAUAGUUGGUCAGGGACACCUGGGAACAAAUGUACCACUGUUCUUGUAUAUAAAAAAAAAAGUAAUUUAGGCCUGUGUGUAUGAGCCCUCUUUUACAGUAGUUCUCUCACAUUUCAGUUGAAUGCAUUCAGUUGUACAACUGACUAGGUAUCCCCCUUUCCUUUUCCUUCUAUGAGAGAUGUAUGUGCGUUCAUUCUCUCCCUCACUUCUCCUGUAAGGAGAUUUAGAGAAGGAGAAGAGGAGGCUCCAGAACAUUCUAGCUACGGGGCAGGAGGAACCCAGACCCAGUCGUCCCAGGAACAUUUCCCUGGACCAGGGCCCAGAGGAGGAGAGGGACCGCUUCCAGGAGGUUCUGGAUGAGAUUGAGGAGAGGAAGGAGUUUCUGGAGGAGAUGACAGCCCUGGGGAAAGGGAGGCAGUAUCGCAACAUCAUCAACACAGAGAUCUCACAGAAAAUCCACGAGCUGGAGGUGAUUGACAAGGCCCGCAGAGCUGAGGACCAUUAUGCCAGAGAAGAAGACUUGAGUGACAGAGAGGAAUACUCAUCUACUGACUCUGCUGAAUGGAUCUACUAUACUGCUAAUACUCUCCUACAGAAAAUACACUGCACAGGAAUUCUGAACUCAAACUUGGAUACUAGUCUUCAUUUGUGCAUAAAUGCUUGUUCAAAUUAUGGCAUGGUAACAAAUGUUGCUGGGAAGACCCCGAUGCAUCCUUGUCAAACUGUGAAAAAGCAUUGUACUGUACAUUAAAAUAUGACCACACAUCUCUUUAGCGGCAUUAAUAUGUUUUAUUUCUCAGUCUCCCAGAUUUCAAUGUGAUCCUGUUGUUUCUUUAGGACCAUGUUUCAACAUAGCUCUACAGAAGCCCUUGGUGUGAGUUUUUAAAUAGGAAGAAGAGGCACAAACACACAAGCAGCCAUUUUGAAUGGAAGACAAGAUCGUGUACGAGACAAUAUAUACGGACAGACUAUAACAAGACAUUCGGUUUAACUCCGGACAAAAACGAGACUUAUUGACGAAUACAUUUAAAUAAGGGCACUCUUAACAUAAACGGAUCUCAUAGUGCUAUCGACUUUGACGGCAGAUUCUAAAUUAAGGCAAAACUCAAUGGAAUUAGACAGCGUUUACAGAGUCAAAGGCAUUGUAAAAUAUAUAAAUUAAAAAGAUUUGCAUAUUUUGCAGACUUUCCCAAACAGUUAAACUGAUAAACUGGUAGGUACUAAUAGUUUGCUACAUUGUUAAAAAGAUAUCUACGGAAUUUAUAUACACAGAGUGUACAAAACAUUAGGAACACAUGCUCUUUCCGUGACCUAGACUGACCAGGCGAAAGCUAUGAUCCCGUAUUGAUGACACUUGUUAGAUCCACUUCAAAUCAGUGUAAAUGAAGGGGAGGAGACGGGUUAAAGAAGGAUUUUUAAGCAUUGAAACAACUGAGACAUGGAUUGUGUCUGUGUGCCAUUCAGAGAGUGAAUGGGCAAGAACAUAUUUAAGUGGCGGUUUGUGUUAACAGCAACGCUGCUGGGCUUUUCACGCUCAACAGUUUCCCGUGUGUAUCAAGAAUGGUCCACCACCCAAAGGACAUCCAGCCAACUUAACACAACUGUGGGAAGCAUUUGAGUCAACAUGGGCCAGCAUCCUUGUGGAAUGCUUUCGACACCUUGUAGAGACCAUGCCCCGACGAAUGUAGGCUGUUCUGAGGGCAAAAGGGGGUGCAACUCAAUAUUAGGAAGGUGUUCUUAAUAUUUUGUACACUCACUGCAUGCACACAUAUAUAUGAGAUUUACAAACUAAACAAGUGUGAACAGUUCUAGGGGCUACAAUACACAAUAAGGAUUGUAAUAAUUAUAUGCAUAUAUAUAUAUAUAUUUAUUACAAUCCUUAAUGUAUAAUGUAGCCCCUAGAACUGUUCACACUUGUUUCGUUGUAAAUCUGGUCAGAUUCUGUAAUACUAUUAAGUCAGUGACCUGUCAUGAUACAACUAUGUUAGUCAAAUACACUGCUUUACAUUCCUUGUUUUAAGUCAUUACUUACAUUCCAUCUGAACUAUUUCUUACCUGUCUGUCUUAUGUCUCAUUCUCAGACCCGUGAUUAUCCAACAUAAUAUCUACAGUCCAAUAUAAUAUCUACAGUACAAUAGUCAGUGAUUUGGAAAACAUGGUAAGUAGCUAGUUAAGAAAUAACCUUUUCGCUAAAAGCUAGAGUAAUUAUUUGGGUUGUCAUUACUCCAUCUUAACUGGCAGUAUUUACUCACAACAACGGGUUCCUCUUU